AACGAACGCUGGCGGCAGGCCUAACACAUGCAAGUCGAACACCUCAGCAAUGGGGAGUGGCAGACGGGUGAGUAACACGUGGGAACAUGCCCUUUGGUUUGGAAUAACUCAGGGAAACUUGAGCUAAUACCGGAUAAGCCCGAGAGGGGAAAGAUUUAUCGCCGAAGGAUUGGCCCGCGUCCGAUUAGCUAGUUGGUGAGGUAAUGGCUCACCAAGGCGACGAUCGGUAGCUGGUCUGAGAGGAUGAUCAGCCACACUGGGACUGAGACACGGCCCAGACUCCUACGGGAGGCAGCAGUGGGGAAUAUUGGACAAUGGGCGCAAGCCUGAUCCAGCCAUGCCGCGUGAGUGAUGAAGGCCCUAGGGUUGUAAAGCUCUUUCGCCAGGGACGAUAAUGACGGUACCUGGAUAAGAAGCCCCGGCUAACUUCGUGCCAGCCGCCGCGGUAACAC
rnacentral:rRNA from 1 species